GAAAAAUAAAAAGAUGAACUCUUUGAGAUUAGAGGUAAUAAUAUCAAGAAAUAUCUGUUCUCAUUUGAGUGCAUGUGUCUCUGCAAAAUUCAUAUGUUGGAACUUAAAGCCCAGGGUGAUGGUAUUAAGAGGUGGUAGAAAGGCAUUUGGGAAUGGAUUACAUCAUAAAGGCUCUACCCUGAUUAAUGGGAUUAUGGAACAGGCUUCAAAGAGCUACCUGGAACUUCCAUCACUUCUACCAUGUGAAGAUAAACAUGAAUCUCUUUUUUCCCUUAUAUUUCUUCUGCCAUGUGAGAACACAGUAUUUGUCUUUUCCACCUUUCCAUGAUGUGAGGACACCCCAAGAAUGUCCCCUAAAGACAGGAAACAAGACAUGGAAUCUUCUGGCACCAUGAUCUUGGACUUCAUAGCCUCCAAAAUGAAUAGAGAACCUACAGACCCGCAUGUAUUGAAGUUUGAAACCACCUGUGUAAACAGCACACAGAUGAAGGACCACUUUACCCUGUUUCUCACACCAUAGUGAAGGGAACGAGAGCAAAGCCACCUGCAUAUCUUCGGCAGUUAAAGAUCAGAAUCAUAACAACAAUAACAUCUCACAAUUUUCCAAGUGCUCCUUCGGCUCUGUCUUUUUCCUCCCACCUGAGGCCCCCAGGGUGGGUGUAGACAUUCAUCUCUGCUUCAUUUGAUCCACCUCUGCUUGGCCACUGCUGGACUUUUUCUCAGGCAAAGGAGAACCCCCAGGAGAGUGGAUAAACUGGACCAAGGAGCUGCAGAGCUCAAAUAGAACACUUCUCCUUCAAAAUUUAACUCAGCUCUCGGAAACACUGAAAGGAAAUGUGGCCUAUAAUUAUCCAACGUGAGAUGCAAGGAUUGAAUGCUUUGUCCAAGCUUUGCUGUUCUAAGAGAAGUCAAGGUGAAGGGUUUAGUGCCUCUGAAGCUGGGGCAAGAAAACAAUCGGCUUCUCCAACGGUCAGUAAAGAAUACAAGGGCACAGUUAAAACAGAGCCACUGAAGUGAACAACCUUCAUGUGACCAACAGGAGAAACACCCCCUCCAGGAACCUAAGACCAGUUUGCUACAAGAAUACAAUUGGUAUUCCCCACAGUCACCCUCACAAGGGACACUUACAAAGCACACUCCAAUCUCAGCCAUUACUGACUGACAAGAGCCUGCCUGUCUGAAGCCUGCAGGCCCGAGAAGCUUCUUUCUCCCUUCUCUUGGCUAUUAGUCACAGCUGGUAAGGCUCACAGGAACCGAGACUGUUUGAAAACAGUUGGAUCACGAAAACGUUUGAGUCUUUCUGCUGCAAGCAACAAACUUGGCCCAGGCUGCCACAAGGAGAUGGAGUGGGAGUGGGGGUGGCGAUGGGAUGCACCAGGAACGAAGGAAGAAAGGGAAAUUGCUAACCACCUCACUUCAAAAUCUUCUCUGAGGGAGCCCGUGGCUAUUAUCCUGGUUCAAAUGUCACAGAUAGAAGAUAAUAAAAACAAGAAGAAAUAAAAUUCAAGAUCCAUUAGAACACUUCUGGAUUGUCCAUUACAGCAUGUAUUACCCAACAGAAAGAUGAUCACUAAUAGAUGACAAGCUAUUUAAUUUUAUGUUUACUUUUGGAAGGAUGCAGGUACUGUGCAGGGUUUCUACAACACAUCAGCAUUGCUUACACCAGUACUUCAAAUAUGAGUUAUUUAAUCACCCAAGUUAAAUGAAAAUAACCAAAUGAUUAAAUAAAAUCAAGUCAUACUUCAUGUGAAGACUUUA
rnacentral:lncRNA from 1 species